rnacentral:rRNA from 1 species
UACGUAGGGUGCAAGCGUUAUUCGGAAUUACUGGGCGUAAAGCGUGCGCAGGCGGUUCGUUGAGUCGUCGGUGAAAGCCCCGGGCUUAACCUGGGAAUGGCCGUCGAAACUGGCGAACUGGAGUGUGGCAGAGGGGGGUGGAAUUCCGCGUGUAGCAGUGAAAUGCGUAGAGAUGCGGAGGAACACCGAUGGCGAAGGCAGCCCCCUGGGCUGACACUGACGCUCAGGCACGAAAGCGUGGGGAGCAAACAGG